CUUUUUCUGACAGUCGAAAAUCGUGGACCGUUUCGGAGGAUUCAAAGUCCACGUGGCGAGCAACAUUCUGAUUAUUUUCGCCCACGUGACAUACACCGUCAGUCAAGUAGCCACACCAGCGGCACCAAACGCCAUGCCAUACGUUGCAAUAUUUGCCGUUGGUAUUUUUCUCAUUGCUUGGUCUGGCGGAACUAAUCUUACAACUUUUGCCUUACUUGGAGAAAUUACAAGUGAACCGACACGUUCUACUGCGUAUGGGUAUUCUGCAGCAAUACUUUGGGUUGUAGCGUGGGUUGCAAGCUUCAUACCACCGUACCUACAGAUAUACCUCGGCUCUUAUGCGCUUACAAUAUGGAUCGGGUUCGCUGUAUUGUUCAUUUUAUUUGACGUCAAACUAAUUUCACGAUUGAGACGCCAACGACGUCAUGAGGCCAGGGUUCACAGGGAACCUGAAAGUAUCGAGCUUAAGGCUUAACUUUCAAAAGGCUAUGGAUUAAAAGUGUGGGAAAUAGUGCCAGUUGAAAAGUGUGAGCUAUUGUACACAUUCUUGCCUCAAGGAAAUAGACAAAACAUAACAGCUGGUAUACGAAAGAGUUCAGGAAAAGCAAUAUUCGGUGUUUUUCCAUACCCUUCUGAUUCUGCCAAAGCAAACGUUA